UUCCAAGAGACAAAUAUAAACCAUAAGGAUGUGGACAAUAUGAUAAAAAGAAAAGGUCCAAAUUCUUCGUGGCCUGAUGGGAGUUCCGCCACCUCGACACGUUGCUUCUUUAGCCUCCAAAAAUAGCCAGGGAUCUGACUGUGGAACGAUCAAUCCAGAGUCCUUGGCGCCUGAAGACUCGAUGGCAGAGAUAUCAAAGCUGAGACUGAGGUCUGCUUCUCAGAAGAAACACAAAUUCUCUGAAGUCCUGAUUCUGACGGUGAUGAUGACGAUGAUGACCUGAUGAAGGGUGAAGGAUGAUGGAUCAGUGCUCCAUGACCGACCGCACCAGUAGACCACAGACAUCGCUGCCAGGAAAUGCAGGAAGUGAAUUCAUGAAACAGAAAUAUCUUCCUGAAUGAACUGGUGCCAAAGCUUCGAUAAAAUUAGAACUGCUGUCGGCCAGAUUUCUGGAAGAUUUGGGCGGAGCAGAUCUGUGUCCGAGCUGCACGGUGGGGCAGCAGUUAACGCUCAUCUGCUGCCAUGCUGAAUGAAGGUUAUUGGUUCAAAUCCAAGCUCAGAUGAUGGA